rnacentral:miRNA from 1 species
UAGCCUGAUUGUGGGGUUCU